AGAUUGAACGCUGGCGGCAUGCUUUACACAUGCAAGUCGAACGGUAACAGGCCGCAAGGUGCUGACGAGUGGCGAACGGGUGAGUAAUGCAUCGGAACGUGCCCAGUCGUGGGGGAUAACGCAGCGAAAGCUGUGCUAAUACCGCAUACGAUCUAUGGAUGAAAGCGGGGGACCGAAAGGCCUCGCGCGAUUGGAGCGGCCGAUGUCAGAUUAGCUAGUUGGUGGGUAAAGCCCACCGAAGGCGACGAUCUGUAGCUGGUCUGAGAGGACGACCAGCCACACUGGAACUGAGACACGGUCCAGACUCCGUACGGGAGCAGCAGGUGGGGAACUUUGGACAAGUGGGCGCGAAGCCUGAUCCGAGCAAUCGGCCGCGGUGCGAAGGAACGAAGGUCCUUUCGGGUUAGUAAACGU
rnacentral:rRNA from 1 species